rnacentral:rRNA from 1 species
ACGUGAACAGCAUUUGGACGUGGGUGAGUCGGUCCUAAGAGAUGGGCGAAAGCCUGGUUAGCAAGGGUGCAGAUGUGCUGUCUCCUCACACGAGGCAAGCAUGUCCGGAUUGGUUCUUUGGGGCCACGGUGGCACCAGUUCUCGAAAGGGCAUCGGGUUAAUAUUCCCGAACCAGACACUUGGAUGCUGCUUGUGACUGCCGCCCUCUUUCGGGGGGGUGUGUGGUUGCCAGUGGAGCACGGCAACGUAUAUGUAUGUGUAUACUCGGCGACGCUUACGAUAGCCCUGGGAAGAGUUGUCUUUUCUUCUUAACCGUACCAACCGUGUGCACAGCCCUGGAAGCAGUUUACCUUGAGAGAGGGCUGGAGGUCGGGUAAAGCGCUGCACUUAUUGCAGCGUCCAGUGCGCUGUCGAGAGCCCUUGAAAAGCUGAGUCAGGACUGGAUCAUGUUAGUCUCGUGUCUGGCCGUACCCAUCACCGCAUCAGGUCUCC